rnacentral:misc_RNA from 1 species
CAGACAAAAAAUCCUUGGCACUUGUAUUGCACAUGUCAAAGUUUGUCAAAUUAGUACUGGAUACGCUCAAAUUGAAAAGUACAGGGGCUCAUUGUAACAUCAUUUAAGCUGGAUGCCAAAGUCAAAAAGUUCAGGGGUAAAAUGUUAAAAAACUGAAUAGUCACAAGAACUAUUGCCUCACAAGUGGAGACAUUCAUAGAUUAUAGAUCCAAAAGUAAGACCUCAGUCAUUCAAUGGCUCAUCAAGCAUACUCCAAACUUAUCUUUCAUGCACUAGAAUACCUUAAAUAUAGAUUCCUCAAAUAACUACAACGUAUGCCUUUUCAAUCCUUAAACAUA